rnacentral:snRNA from 1 species
CGCUUUGGUAGCACAUGUUACACUAAAAGUGGAGCCAUCCAGAGGUUAGCAUGGGUCCUGUGCAAGGAUGACAUGCAAAUUCGUGAAACAUUCCAUAUUUUU